UAUUCCUUGGGGCCCCCAGAAGGAAACAGCCCCACUGAUUGACUUUACUUUUUUCCCAUAGGCUCAUUUUGGACUUUGGGCCUCAAGAGCUGAAUAAGAACACAUUUCUGUUUGUUGAGCUGGAAGUUCGAACUACCAAUCACUGGUGAGGUUUUAUACCUUAUGGAAGAGAGCAAAGAGCAUAACACUGUCAACCAUCAGAAGUAAGAACUCACAGAUUGCAGCUCUGAGUCACCAAGGAGAACUCCACUCAAAAGACUUAUGGCACUUGCAACUUGGUUCUGUAACCUCCGAAUGGCCUAAAGUCUGGCACAAUGACAGCAAUCUCAGAUGCUUCCAAAGUACUGUGCUCCAUAGAACUAUUCCCUGGAAGAGAACAGUCAAGAAUCAAGGACCUGAUUCAGGAAAUAAGGUACACUGUCCAGAAGCAUUUAGUAACAGUGUGACUGUUCUGCUUUGCUCCUGGAUAAUUUAAUCAAGUGACAGAUAUGUCCAACAAGUUUCCAUUUAGUAUGUGGGGUGGCCAGGAAAAAAAAAAAGAUUAGAAGAAAAAGCCAUCCAGCAAUUUUGUUUGUCUCAGUCCACAGUUUAUAUGAUGAUAUCCAAUAUAGAAUUCUUUCUCUUCUGAUACAAUCAAUUACACUGACAACUUUUUUUCCUAAUCUCAGAUCUGUGUAUACCUGCACAUUUCAAUGUUUCCAGAAGACUCAUUAUAAUCAUCACUGAAUAUUUAUUGAGAACCCACUGGGCACAGAGAACUGUACUAGGCAUGUGAUCAAGAGAGAGCCUAUUUCCAGCCAAGUUCUUUUGUUUCCAUCCUGUUCUGGGAGUAAUAACAUACCUAAGGAAAGUGGAAUUCUGCACAUAAUCAAACUUAUUAUCUGAUUUGAUCAUUAUUUUGAUUGCUACUUAUGAUUUAUAAUAGAGGUCAUUAUUUUAUUACAUACUUUCUGUAUAUAAUUAAGUUACUUUAAAUGAAGACUUUCAUUCAGCUCUAGUUAGUAAGAAUAAUGUAUUUCUGAUUUUCUCAUCAGCAACUGAAGAAAAAUUGAGCCACACAAAAAAAGGUAUUAUACUACUGAAUAGGUUUUUUUUUUCUUUCAAAAGCUUAGAAUUCAUUGUAUAUAUAAAUGGGAAGAUUGAUGGCAUUUAGUAUGAGAUAAAUUUCAUUGUUUCAAAAAAUUAUCAGAAGUAUGUCAAGAAAACGAAGUUCCUAGUGUUCCAUGUGGGGUUUGAAUUCUCUGAUCAAAUUACAAGUUUCAAGUUUUAACAGUAAAAAAGAUCACAGUGUCAUAGUUGCACAUAUAUUUUGUAAAAGACAAAGGGCUAAAUUGAUAAAGGAAAAAAGAAAAAUCAGUGCCUUCCAAAACAGAAUUUCAUGAUUUUCAUUGUUAGUGAGUUGUUUUAUGUGUCAGGUAAACUUUGAUCUUAAAAUAUCUUGCACAGGCAGGAUUUCCUCCAGAGACCAUUUUCUGUCUUGAUAUCCUCAUAAGAGAAGCAAGAAUAAAUAUUUUG
rnacentral:lncRNA from 1 species